UUAACUUUGGUCCUGUAACAAUAGAAAAAUGACUCAGUUGCUCUGUUUGUGAAACUGGGGCAGUGAUGCCAGCUGCUUGCCUUGCACAAAGGGAUGAAGGAGGGCCAGCCUUAUGAGACAAUAGAGGCCUCUGGAGUCGGGGCAUUACAUAGGUGGGGAGGAGGAAGGUGCCAAGAAAGAGCUGGAAGACUGUGGAGGGGGCAACCUGACACAGAACUGAAGGAAGCCUAGCAAGCCCUCUCUCCACAUCUCCCUUCUACUCCAGAUUUUCAGCUGCAGGAUUAUAAAGAACUCAGGAUUUCCCAGUAUUUACACAGGCCUGUUCCACAUCAUGGCACCCUAUGUAAGACGAGUGGUUCUGAAAAUACAUCAUCAUGGAUCAUCAGCUAUAAUGAGAAGUAGAUUAACCCAGGGGCAUGCCAUCAAAUGAUCUGCCAAAGAGUCAAGAAGAGGCCCAGUGGGGACAAUUUUGGAGGUCAGCCCAGGCUGAAGUGGAUGGCCAAUUGACACCAAGCGGAACGAUGGACAACCAUGUUAAUAGAUCUCCUGAUUUUCCAAGAGAAGUUAGAAAUUUCUAUUUUUAUAUGAAAUCUCCUGUUUUUAAACGUUGGCAACUGAUUCAAAAUAAUUUUAAACACUUUGAAAGAUAAAUAAAAUGUGUCUGCAGGCAGCCCAGUUUGUGACCUCUUCUUCUAGAAGUCCCCUAGAGAAGACUUAGCAAUAAUUACUCUUCGGAGCCUCCCCAACUUUACCCCAUUCUCACCUCCACCCCUCCCUCAUUAACUCCCUCCCUAAUUAACUGUUCUUUGACCUCAGUUACUAAAGCAAUUUAUAUGUAUGUCUGUUAGAGUGCUCAAUACAUUCUGUG
rnacentral:lncRNA from 1 species